rnacentral:rRNA from 1 species
AUUGAACGCUGGCGGCAGGCCUAACACAUGCAAGUCGAGCGAGAGGCGGACGGGUGAGUAAUGUCUGGGAAACUGCCUGAUGGAGGGGGAUAACUACUGGAAACGGUAGCUAAUACAGCAUACCAUCAGAUGUGCCCAGAUGGGAUUAGCUAGUAGGUGGGGUAACGGCUCACCUAGGCGACGAUCCCUAGCUGGUCUGAGAGGAUGACCAGCCACACUGGAAUUGAGACACGGUCCAGACGCCAGCGUGAGGCAGCAGUGGGGAGUAGUGCGGAAGGGGCGUAAGCCUGAUGCAGCCAUUACGCGUGUGUAAAGAAGGGAUUCGGGUGGUGAAGAUCGUUCAGCGGGGAGGCGGUACCCGCGGAAAAGGCACGGGCUAACUCCGUGCCAGCAGCCGCGGUAAUAC